rnacentral:tRNA from 1 species
GCCAUUGUGGUUUCUGCGUAACUACUAACCAAAAGGUUGGUGGUUCAAAUCCACCCAGUGGCA